GCAGUUAUCUCAGUUAGUUAGAGCGUGGUGCUGAUAAUGCCAAGGCUGUAGGUUCGAUCCCCGUAUGGGACGGCUGCA